UCUCCUCCAGAAUGUCAUAUAGGUGGAAUCAUACAUUAUGUAGCCUUUUCAGAUUGGCUUCUUUCACAUAGUAAUAUGCACUUAAGUUUCCUCCAUGUUUUUUCCUGGCUUGCUAGCUCAUUCCUCUUUAGCGCUGAAUGAUAUUCCAUUGUCUAGACGUACCACGUCUUCCAAAUCCAAUCCCCUACCAUAGGGUAUGUUGGUGGCUUCCCAGUUUGGGCUAUUAUGAAUAAAGCUUCCAUAAACGUCCGUGUCCAGGUUUUUGUGUGAACACAAGUUUCAACUCUUCCUUGGUUUUUGCACACUGUGUGUUACUGUCACACUGUUUCAUAAUUUUGCACCCUUCUUCUUACCUAAGUUGUAUUCUCCACGUUGUGACAUCUUGACCCUGUUCCGGUGAGAAGACAGGUAGGCCACGGUACCCAACCGUUCCCUGGCAUCUCAGUAAUACCUGACACGCAAAGCACUGGGAAAAGUGCACAAUAUCCAUAAUCUCCGACCCUCCCAGAUGGGAAAAUGAAGCCUCGGAGAGGUUCAGGCGGGAGACGUGGGAUCUGAUCCAGGGCGGCCUGCCUCCUUGGCCCUGAAGCAAGGAUUCUGGGCCCAGCCCAGACAACAGAGAAGAAGAAAACUAGGACAGGAAGAGGGUAAAUCAAGCCAGAUCCACGAUGGCUGCUCUGGGCUUAAACCAGCUCCCUAAAGAGAAGGCUUUGGAGCGUGCUUUGUGGGUUUCCCAUGCCACUGGACUACUCAAGGUUAAUGGCUACCACAUGCCGGGAGCUGCUCAAAGCUGCAGAACUCCACUCUCAAGAUGGACAAAGGGUACCACCCGCUCACGGUGACUCCCUUGAAAUGACUCUCUUUUACAUGACAUGCCAAGAACAUAAAACCACAUGUAGUACACAAUGAGCGUUUAAUGGGCUUCACCUACUGCAUUAUCUUACCAGUAUUAUUACCAUCAUUAUUAUGGAAUCUCUCUCAGAGUCCUUGAAUAGGGAGCCAGACAUGACAGAGUUCUCUGUAACCUGAGCCAGAACCGGUGCAUCUAGAAAAGAGCGGCAGACCCUUGGCAGUCAAGGUGGAUUCUUCUCUGCUGCUUCUACCCUAUGGGGUUUUUGCAUGCACGUUCCAAGCAGCAUCAGAAUAAAGCUGCUCCCUUGUGAGGGAGCUGCCAAAGCGCCUCCCUGUCCACAGCCUCCAUGGCUUUUUAUCAUAAAUGGCUUACACAACCUGAGAGGUUCUGCUGGGGCCCCGUUGUUAAAGCUCUCCGUUGCAGUCCCUGCCGGCUUUGUGAAGCCUGCACAGAAGCUUUGCCGGGCCACUGGUUUUGUUUGUGAAUUUAAGAUCUAUGAAUACGAACUGGUAAGAU